AACCCAUGGUGAGGGCAUCUUCUCAAUAAGUUCUUAUACCUCUCCCAUGCAUCAUAUAAGGUCUCUAAAUCCAUUUGCUCAAAGGAAAAGAUAUCAUUCCUCAACUU
rfam:Gossypium hirsutum cultivar TM-1 chromosome 2, whole genome shotgun sequence